UGUCUACUCCCUCCGUUUGUAAUUACUUGUCGCGAAAAUGGAUGUAUCUAGACGUAUUUUACUUCUGGAUACAUCCAUUUUUGAGACAAGUAAUUUUGAACGGUGGGAGUACAUG
rfam:Triticum aestivum genome assembly, contig: Triticum_aestivum_CS42_TGACv1_scaffold_049424_1BS